rnacentral:rRNA from 1 species
UACGUAGGGGGCAAGCGUUGUCCGGAUUUAUUGGGCGUAAAGAGCGUGUAGGCGGCCAGACAGGUCAGCUGUGAAAACUCGAGGCUCAACCUCGAGACGUCGGUUGAAACCGUCUGGCUAGAGUCCGGAAGAGGAGAGUGGAAUUCCCGGUGUAGCGGUGAAAUGCGCAGAUAUCGGGAGGAACACCUGUGGCGAAAGCGGCUCACUGGACCACAACUGACGCUGAGGCGCGAAAGCUAGGGGAGCAAACAGG